GGGGGUAUAGCUCAGUGACAGAGCAUUUGACUGCAGAUCAAGAGGUCCCUGGUUCGAUUCAAGGUGUCCCCU